ensembl:lncRNA
GCGGGGUAAGGCCAAGACUGGGGUAGAAUUUUCCAGAUUCAACACUGGUGUACAUAUGUCUGACUGGGUGCGUUGACCUGUGGCCUCACACAGUGAUUCUGGGCCCUUUCUGCUUGCUGUCUCUCAGAAUUGUUUUUCUUACCUUUUAAUGUAAUGACGAGUGUGCUUCCGUUUCUUUAGCAAAACCACUCUCUUGAAUCACGUUAACUUUUGAGAUUAAAAAACGCCAUAGCACAGCUGUCUUUAUGCAAGCAAGAGCACAUUUACUCCAGCAUGAUCUGUCAUCUAAAGACUUGAGAACAAAAAAGUCACUUAGAGUCAAUGGGUGUCUACAAUGGCCGAAACCACUACAUCCAUAAUACGCCAUGUACCUGAGAACUUAAUUUUGGCCUUGACAUGGUCAGAAAAAGGAACUGAGUUUUCAUAGUUCAGAAGAAACCUCAAAAAAAGGGGAGUCAGCAGUGAUCGUGGGGGAAAUGUUUACAUUUUUUUUUUCUUCAGAAAUAACACUUUCUGACAAUUUUAUCUGCUAUUUAACACAGGGAGCUAUGGUGCACUCUAGUUUAUACAUGUGCUAUAAGAUGUGUUGUGUGAACGGAGGGCACCCACGUAGUGAAUUCGUUGUUCCACCUGACACAGGCUGGCUCCAGGGCAGAGCCAUGUGGGCUCCUGCAGCAGGCACGGGUCAUGGCCAACUCCGACUUCCAAGACUAUAGCCAUCACUAGCACGGUGUUUUUUUUUCCGUUUGUUUAAUCAACGUAGGUGUAUUAGUAGUUCUAUAAAGAGAACUGCUUUUGACAUUAGGGACUCUGGGAGCAGGCCGUGGGAUACAAAGGAAAGUGUUUUCUCGCGGGAAAACAUGUCAGGAAAAAAUAAAGAACACUUUCUACCUCUGUUUCAGAUUUUUGAAACGCUUAUUUUAAACCAAAUUUUAAUUUGUGUCCAAAAUAAGUUUUAAGGACAUCUGUUCUUCCAUAGGAUAUAGGUGAGGCCGCCUAUUUCCGACUGAACUCAUGGAAUGGUUCCACUUGUGACCCUCUGCGCGCUGCCUAAAGUGAGUGAGGAGUUUGGGGUUGCCUGGCAACCCGCAAACUUGUACAAACUCAUCUUCCCCUCACAGAACGAAAUGAAGGAAAACCAAGCAAAGUCAGUGAAAGACAAUCCUUAUUGUUUCAGGAGUAAAUCUACGUGUGGCUCUUGUCCAGCACUUAGACGGAUGUCAAUGCAGCGACUUGUUUUAAAAAAAAUGCACAAUUUACUUCCCAAAAAAAGUUGCUACUUGCCUUUUCAAGUCGUUGAAGAACACACAUUUGAUAUUCUCUUAUAUGUUAUAGUAACGUAACGUAUAAACUCAAGGCUUUUUAUUCUUUGUGAUAAAUCCUGUUUUCAAAUGUCACGGAACAGGAACCAGCAUUCGAAUUAGGUUUACUAUCUCAAGAUAUGGUUCAAAUAGGACUACUAGAGUUCGUUGAACACUAAAACUAUGAAACAAUUACUUUUUAUAUUAAAAAGACCAUGGAUUUAACGUGUAAAAAUCCAAAUGCAGGAUAGUAAUUUUUGUUUACUUUUUUAACCAAACUGAAUUUUUUGAAAGACUGUCGCAGGUGUUUAAAAAGAAAGAAAAGUUGUUUUAUCUAAUACUGUAAGUAGUUGUCAUAUUCUGGAAAAUUUAAUCAUUUUAGAGUUAAGAGAACUCCUCUCCUUGGUUAGGGAAGAAGAAAGCCCUUCACCACUGUGGAAUGAUGCCCUGGCUUUACGGUCUGGCUCUACAUCAUGCUUCUUUUGAGAAUUAUAUUUGGUAGUUAUAAUUACAGACACUGAUUAGCUGUCAGUUUGCAGGUAGACCUAACUCAGUACUCAUCACUCUGGACAGAUUGAGACGUUCUUUCGCCACAGAUGAAUGAUCUGUAACACUGUAAGAUACUGAUCUUUACAACUGUUUAAUCAGUUUUAUUUUUGUACAGUAUUAGUGACCUAAGUUAUUUUGCUGUCCCGUUUUUGUAAAUCAAAUGAAAUUAUAAAAGAGGAUUCUGACAGUGGGUAUUUUGUACAUAUGUAUAUAUGUUGUCCAAAUAAAAAUAAUAAAUGAUAAAGAUCGAGUUGUUCCAGCCAUUAUGUGU